CUCUGUGACUCCUACGGGAGGCAGCAGUGGGGAAUAUUGCACAAUGGGCGCAAGCCUGAUGCAGCCAUGCCGCGUGUGUGAAGAAGGCCUUCGGGUUGUAAAGUCACUUUCAGUUGUGAGGAAGGUGGUGUCGUUAAUAGCGGCAUCAUUUGACGUUAGCAACAGAAGAAGCACCGGCUAACUCCGUGCCAGCAGCCGCGGUAAUACGGAGGGUGCGAGCGUUAAUCGGAAUUACUGGGCGUAAAGCGCAUGCAGGUGGUUGUUAAGUCAGAUGUGAAAGCCCGGGGCUCAACCUCGGAACUGCAUUUGAAACUGGCAGACUAGAGUACUGUAGAGGGGGUAGAAUUUCAGGUGUAGCGGUGAAAUGCGUAGAGAUCUGAAGGAAUACCGGUGGCGAAGGCGGCCCCCUGGACAGAUACUGACACUCAGAUGCGAAAGCGUGGGGAGCAAACAGGAUUAGAUACCCUGGUAG
rnacentral:rRNA from 1 species